AGCGAACGCUGGCGGCAGGCCUAACACAUGCAAGUCGAACGAACCCUUCGGGGUUAGUGGCGGACGGGUAAGUAACACGUGGGAACGUGCCUUUAGGUUCGGAAUAACUCAGGGAAACUUGUGCUAAUACCGAAUGUGCCCUUCGGGGGAAAGAUUUAUCGCCUUUAGAGCGGCCCGCGUCUGGUUAGCUAGUUGGUGAGGUAAUGGCUCACCAAGGCUACGAUCAGUAGCUGGUCUGAGAGGAUGACCAGCCACAUUGGGACUGAGACACGGCCCAAACUCCUACGGGAGGCAGCAGUGGGGAAUCUUGCGCAAUGGGCGAAAGCCUGACGCAGCCAUGCCGCGUGGAUGAUGAAGGUCUUAGGAUUGUAAAAUCCUUUCACCGGUGAAGAUAAUGACUGUAGCCGGAGAAGAAGCCCCGGCUAACUUCGUGCCAGCAGCCGCCGUAAUAC
rnacentral:rRNA from 1 species